rnacentral:rRNA from 1 species
GACGAACGCUGGCGGCGUGUCUAAUACAUGCAAGUCGAACGAGGAUUUCUUACACCGAGUGCUUGCACUCACCGUAAGAAAUUCGAGUGGCGGACGGGUGAGUAACACGUGGGUAACCUGCCCAAAAGAAGGGGAUAACAUUUGGAAACAAAUGCUAAUACCGUAUAACCAUGAUGACCGCAUGGUCAUUAUGUAAAAGGUGGUUCUGCUAUCGCUUUUGGAUGGACCCGCGGCGUAUUAACUAGUUGGUAGGGUAACGGCCUACCAAGGUGAUGAUACGUAGCCGAGUUGAGAGACUGAUCGGCCACAAUGGGACUGAGACACGGCCCAUACUCCUACGGGAGGCAGCAGUAGGGGAUCUUCCACAAUGGGCGCAAGCCUGAUGGAGCAACGCCGCGUGAAUGAAGAAGGUCUUCGGAUCGUAAAAUUCUGUUGUUGGAGAAGAACGUGCGUG